AAUUAACUGCCUUGGCUAAUUAACUUGUGUUUUUUACUGCAGUGAAUUUCUGUAGCAGGUAACCUUGAGGAAGAUUCCAGUGUAUUAGAAGCUACACCAUCCAUUUUCCUUGCUGCAAUAUGAUCAAAAUCAUUAAAGCUUCCUGUGCUUUCAGACAUUGCCGGUUGGUCCCUCACAUUGACAAAUGAUGCAUUCGUUGUUAAUGAGUCCUCCCAGUUUGUUGGUUCAUUUUUCCAUCCCACUUGUUGUGUUGCUUAAGAAAAACCUUGUAAGGUCCAACGGUAUCAGGAGCAUGACUGGACUCUACCGGUUCUGAGGCCAAUAGCUUAACCACAUUAUCAUGUCCACCAGAUCUACCAUGUAAAUUGCCAAGCUCAUGUGGAUUCUGACUUGAGUUUCUAUUAUAAACAGGUCUGGCAUUGCAGCAAGGCACAACAAGGCAACUGGCUUGGCAACGUGUUGUGUGUACUGCAGGUAUUGA